rnacentral:rRNA from 1 species
AACGGCCAUACCAUGUGGAAUAUACCGGUUCUCGUUAGAUCACCGAAGUCAAGCAUCAUUGGGCGCGGUCAGUACUUGGGUGGGUGACCACCUGGGAACACCGCGUGUCGUU